UGCACGGUGGUGCAGUUGGUUGCACUGUUGGCUUGCAACAAGAAGGUCCUCGGUUCAAUUCCCAGUUGGGGCUCUUUCUGCAU